GACGAACCGUGCGAACGUUGUUCGGAAUCACUGGGCUUAAAGGGCGCGUAGGCGGGUCGGCAAGUCCGCGGUGAAAUCCCCCCGCUCAACGGGGGAACGGCCGCGGAUACUGCCGGCCUCGAGGGGGGUAGGGGCGAGCGGAACGCUGGGUGGAGCGGUGAAAUGCGUUGAUAUCCAGCGGAACUCCGGUGGCGAAGGCGGCUCGCUGGACCUUCACUGACGCUGAGGCGCGAAAGCCAGGGGAGCGAACGGG
rnacentral:rRNA from 1 species